rnacentral:rRNA from 1 species
GACGAACGCUGGCGGCGUGCUUAACACAUGCAAGUCGAACGGAAAGGCCCUGCUUUUGUGGGGUGCUCGAGUGGCGAACGGGUGAGUAACACGUGAGUAACCUGUCCUUGACUUUGGGAUAACUUCAGGAAACUGGGGCUAAUACCGGAUAGGAGCUCCUGCUGCAUGGUGGGGGUUGGAAAGUUUCGGCGGUUGGGGAUGGACUCGCGGCUUAUCAGCUUGUUGGUGGGGUAGUGGCUUACCAAGGCUUUGACGGGUAGCCGGCCUGAGAGGGUGACCGGCCACCUUGGGACUGAGGUACGGCCCAGACUCCUACGGGAGGCAGCGGUGGGGAAUAUUGCACAAUGGGCGGAAGCCUGAUGCAGCAACGCCGCGUGCGGGAUGACGGCCUUCGGGUUGUAAACCGCUUUCGCCUGUGACGAAGCGUGAGUGACGGUAAUGGGUAAAGAAGCACCGGCUAACUACGUG